GACGAAAGUCUGACCGAGCAACGCCGCGUGAGUGAAGAAGGUUUUCGGAUCGUAAAGCUCUGUUGUAAGUCAAGAACGUGUGUGAGAGUGGAAAGUUCACACAGUGACGGUAGCUUACCAGAAAGGGACGGCUAACUACGUGCCAGCAGCCGCGGUAAUACGUAGGUCCCGAGCGUUGUCCGGAUUUAUUGGGCGUAAAGGGAGCGCAGGCGGUCAGGAAAGUCUGGAGUAAAAGGCUAUGGCUCAACCAUAGUGUGCUCUGGAAACUGUCUGACUUGAGUGCAGAAGGGGAGAGUGGGAUUCCAUGUGUAGCGGUGAAAUGCGUAGAUAUAUGGAGGAACACCAGUGGCGAAAGCGGCUCUCUGGUCUGUCACUGACGCUGAGGCUCGAAAGCGUGGGUAGCGAACAGGAUUAGAUACCCUGGUAGUCCACGCCGUAAACGAUGAGUGCUAGGUGUUAGGCCCUUUCCGGGGCUUAGUGCCGGAGCUAACGCAAUAAGCACUCCGCCUGGGGAGUACGACCGCAAGGUUGAAACUCAAAGGAAUUGACGGGGGCCCGCACAAGCGGUGGAGCAUGUGGUUUAAUUCGAAGCAACGCGAAGAACCU
rnacentral:rRNA from 1 species